rnacentral:rRNA from 1 species
GAUGAACGCUGGCGGCGUGCCUAACACAUGCAAGUCGAGCGAUCUUCUUCGGAAGAGAGCGGCGGACGGGUGAGUAACGCGUGGGUAACCUGCCCUGUACACACGGAUAACAUACCGAAAGGUAUGCUAAUACGAGAUAAUAUGCUUUUAUCGCAUGGUAGAAGCAUCAAAGCUCCGGCGGUACAGGAUGGACCCGCGUCUGAUUAGCUAGUUGGUGAGGUAACGGCUCACCAAGGCGACGAUCAGUAGCCGACCUGAGAGGGUGAUCGGCCACAUUGGAACUGAGACACGGUCCAAACUCCUACGGGAGGCAGCAGUGGGGAAUAUUGCACAAUGGGCGAAAGCCUGAUGCAGCAACGCCGCGUGAGCGAUGAAGGCCUUCGGGUCGUAAAGCUCUGUCCUCAAGGAAGAUAAUGACGGUACUUGAGGAGGAAGCCCCGGCUAACUAC